UAAAAUAUAAGUUCCUCGUAUUACUUUGAUAUAAGUAUAAGUCUUGCCUGUUUUUUUUUUAAAGGAGGUUCAAACCCGUGCGAGGUGAGGUUUGAUAUAUGAAACAGACCAGUCAUGGGGACACGAGAUAUGGAAAGUUUCAGCGUAGUCGUCGCCACAUUGCUGCCAACACUGCAUAUAUAAGGAAUCACGAACCAUUCAGGAAUAUUGAGACUUAGACCAGUAUCUUUUUAAGUAGGCAUGUGGGGUAAAGAAGACGCAGAAGCUUCAGUCGGGUACCAUCGGUAACGUAGGCGAUUGAUAUAUUUCCACCACUACAUAUGUUGGAUUGGAAUUUCCCAUUUGAUGCUUUGACUGACUAAAUGAGGAAACUUGGAGAUAUUAUUGGUGGUGCCUGCCAGCUUCCAGUUCCGAGAAAAGAAAUCCGACACUUUUCGUCUUUAUUUCCCCUGUCCUUUGUGCGCAAUAAAAGUACAGUUUGUACCCGCGAGGGUACACAUUCGCAGAAUUAUAUGUUUUUAAAAUAAAUGUUUUGGUCAAUAUUCACUAGGUGGGUUACCUUAUUAAAGAAAAUCUUAUUCCAAGAGGGGACACUAGUUUACAUUCGAACCGCUAGAGGGUGCAGAUGGUCACGAGAACAAUAUGAUCAAGUCUCAUUGACGCCAUUGCUUUUCAUACGGGUGGGAAAAUAUCUGGGCUCUGAUUGGCUUCGCCGCAAUCGCAAACUAGAGGUGGGGAGAUUGAUUAAACCCCAUUGGUGCUUGCUUAUCCAAUGGGAGCCAGUUUCAAGGGAUUAUGGGUAAAGGGGGAGGAGCUAG